AUUGUAUCUGUGCAUUGGAGCAACGUUAAACUUGGACUAACUUGAAGGCGAACGGUGGUGUUGGCUUUAAGCGUGGUGAUAAAAAAUGGACAAAUUUGUGAAAAUAACAUCAAUAUCAACUGGCGAUAAAGAAAAUGUAGUUGAGGAUGACAUACAGCAGCACACAAAUAAACGCAAA